GAUGAACGCUGGCGGCGUGCCUAAUACAUGCAAGUCGAACGCAUUGUGGUUGAAAUGAUAUGAAGAACUUGUUCAGAUUUGAUUUUCAACAUUGCAAUGAGUGGCGAACGGGUGAGUAACACGUGGGAAACCUACCUCUUAGCAGGGGAUAACAUUUGGAAACAAAUGCUAAUACCGUAUAAUAAUUAAAACCGCAUGGUUUUAGUUUAAAAGAUGGUCUUGCUAUCACUAAGAGAUGGUCCCGCGGUGUAUUAGUUAGUUGGUGAGGUAAUGGCUCACCAAGACAAUGAUACAUAGCCGAGUUGAGAGACUGACUGGCCACAAUGGGACUGAGACACGGCCCAUACUCCUACGGGAGGC
rnacentral:rRNA from 1 species